rnacentral:rRNA from 1 species
UACAGAGGGUGCGAGCGUUGUUCGGAAUACUGGGCGUAAAGCGCGCGCAGGCGGCCUUUUAAGUCUGACGGUGAAAUGCCGGGGCUCAACCCCGUGCCCGCCGCGGAUACUGGGAGGCUGGAGACAUGUAGAGGCAAGCGGAAUUCCGGGUGUAGCGGUGGAAUGCGUAGAGAUCCGGAAGAACACCGGAGGCGAAGGCGGCUUGCUGGGCAUUGUCUGACGCUGAGGCGCGAAAGCGUGGGAGCGAACAGG